GGUCAUAUUCUGAACAAGCCCAGGAAAGACUGAAGGAAAGUUUAUACCACAGGUGGGUGGCCCAUGAGAGUCAAGACAAAACAAAUAACAAUCCUCAUUUCCUCUUGAGGCAGUCCCCAUUGUUUCCACAAGAAGGCAAGAGUAUGAAAGACAGUACCAUGUUUUCCUCUUGGAUACCAGAAGUCAAACUAGAUAGACAGCUUCCAGGUAACAAAGACAUUGGACUUAAUUUGUGGUCAUGUGACACUGUAUUAGGUACAAAAGAGAGCCUUUCCAGGCCAUCUCAAAAAACUGGUUUUACCUCCAGUGCAGCAAAAUCUGCUAAGGUGACUCCAGAUAACCCUAUGAAAUCGCAUCUUGAUCUUCAUGUGAAAAAUGACUUUCUUCCCUC
rnacentral:lncRNA from 1 species